rnacentral:rRNA from 1 species
AGUGAACGCUGGCGGUAGGCCUAACACAUGCAAGUCGAACGGCAGCACAGUAAGAGCUUGCUCUUACGGGUGGCGAGUGGCGGACGGGUGAGGAAUACAUCGGAAUCUACUUUUUCGUGGGGGAUAACGUAGGGAAACUUACGCUAAUACCCCAUACGACCUACGGGUGAAAGCAGGGGAUCUUCGGACCUUGCGCGAUUGAAUGAGCCGAUGUCGGAUUAGCUAGUUGGCGGGGUAAAGGCCCACCAAGGCGACGAUCCGUAGCUGGUCUGAGAGGAUGAUCAGCCACACUGGAACUGAGACACGGUCCAGACUCCUACGGGAGGCAGCAGUGGGGAAUAUUGGACAAUGGGCGCAAGCCUGAUCCAGCCAUACCGCGUGGGUGGAGAAGGCCUUCGGGUUGUAAAGCCCUUUUGUUGGGAAAGAAAAGCAGCAGGUUAAUACCCCGCUGUUCUGACGGUACCCAAAGAAUAAGCACCGGCUAACUUCGUG